AUGAAACACUCCUACGGGAGGCAGCAGUGGGGAAUCUUCCGCAAUGGGCGCAAGCCUGACGGAGCAACGCCGCGUGAGUGAAGUAGGUCUUCGGAUCUUAAAGCUCUGUUGAUGGGGACGAACGUACGGAGUGCGAAUAGUGCUCUGUAAUGACGGUACCCAUCGAGGAAGCCACGGCUAACUACGUGCCAGCAGCCGCGGUAAUACGUAGGUGGCGAGCGUUGUCCGGAAUCAUUGGGCGUAAAGGGAGCGCAGGCGGGCAUAUAAGUCUUUCUUAAAAGUUCGGGGCUCAACCCCGUGAUGGGAAAGAAACUAUGUGUCUUGAGUACAGGAGAGGAAAGCGGAAUUCCCAGUGUAGCGGUGAAAUGCGUAGAUAUUGGGAGGAACACCAGUGGCGAAGGCGGCUUUCUGGACUGCAACUGACGCUGAGGCUCGAAAGCCAGGGGAGCGAACGGGAUUAGAAACCCGUGUAGUCCGAAGUUC
rnacentral:rRNA from 1 species